rnacentral:rRNA from 1 species
UAGGGAAUCUUCGGCAAUGGGGGCAACCCUGACCGAGCAACGCCGCGUGAGUGAAGAAGGUUUUCGGAUCGUAAAGCUCCGUUGUAAGAGAAGAACGUGUGUGAGAGUGGAAAGUUCACACAGUGACGGUAACUUACCAGAAAGGGACGGCUAACUACGUGCCAG